rnacentral:rRNA from 1 species
UACGUAGGUGGCAAGCGUUGUCCGGAUUUACUGGGCGUAAAGAGCGCGCAGGCGGUCGUUCAAGUCGCGUGUGAAAGCCCCCGGCUCAACCGGGGAGGGUGGCUGCAAACUGGGCGUCUUGAGGGGGAUAGAGGAGAGUGGAAUUUCUGGUGUAGCGGUGAAAUGCGUAGAUAUCAGAAGGAACAUCAGUGGCGAAAGCGGCUUCCUGGACCAGAACUGACGAUCAGGCUCGAAAGCGUGGGGAGCAAACAGG